AGUGGGAUAGCUGGGUCAAAUGGUGGUUUCAUGCCUAGUUUUUUGAGCAGUUUCCAUACUGCUUUCCAGAGUGGUUGUACCAAUUUGCAGUCUCAUAAAUAAU
rnacentral:pre_miRNA from 1 species